rnacentral:rRNA from 1 species
GUAGGGAAUAUUGCGCAAUGGACGAAAGUCUGACGCAGCGACGCCGCGUGAGUGAUGAAGGCCUUAGGGUCGUAAAGCUCUGUUGAAUGGGAAGAAAAAAAUGACGGUACCAUUCGAGGAAGGACCGGCUAACUUCGUGCCAGCAGCCGCGGUAAUACGAGGGGUCCUAGCGUUGUUCGGAAUCAUUGGGCGUAAAGGGUGUGUAGGUGGCCAUGUAAGUCAGGUGUGAAAGCCCCGGGCUCAACCCGGGAAGUGCACUUGAUACUGCGUGGCUUGAGUACCGAAGAGGGUAGUGGAAUUCCAGGUGUAGUGGUGAAAUACGUAGAUAUCUGGAGGAACACCGGUGGCGAAGGCGGCUACCUGGUCGAGUACUGACACUGAGACACGAAAGCGUGGGGAGCAAACAGGAUUAGAAACCCUAGUAGUCC